rnacentral:rRNA from 1 species
CCUACGGGAGGCAGCAGUGGGGAAUAUUGCACAAUGGGGGGAACCCUGAUGCAGCGACGCCGCGUGAGUGAAGAAGUAUUUCGGUAUGUAAAGCUCUAUCAGCAGGGAAGAAAAUGACGGUACCUGACUAAGAAGCCCCGGCUAACUACGUGCCAGCAGCCGCGGUAAUACGUAGGGGGCAAGCGUUAUCCGGAUUUACUGGGUGUAACGGGAGCGCAGACGGCUGUGCAAGUCUGGAGUGAAAGGCGGGGGCCCAACCCCCGGACUGCUCUGGAAACUGUAAAGCUGGAGUGCAGGAGAGGUAAGCGGAAUUCCUAGUGUAGCGGUGAAAUGCGGAGAUAUUAGGAGGAACACCAGUGGCGAAGGCGGCUUACUGGACUGCAACUGACGUUGAGGCUCGAAAGCGUGGGGAGCAAACAGGAUUAGAUACCCCUGUAGUC